rnacentral:rRNA from 1 species
AGUCACUUGAAUUUGGGUUUUUAACUUAGAUUUGGGUGGCGGACGGGUGAGUAACGCGUAAAGAACUUGCCUCACAGCUAGGGACAACAUUUAGAAAUGAAUGCUAAUACCUGAUAUUAUGAUUUUAAGGCAUCUUAGAAUUAUGAAAGCUAUAUGCACUGUGAGAGAGCUUUGCGUCCCAUUAGCUAGUUGGAGAGGUAACAGCUCACCAAGGCGAUGAUGGGUAGCCGGCCUGAGAGGGUGAACGGCCACAAGGGGACUGAGACACGGCCCUUACUCCUACGGGAGGCAGCAGUGGGGAAUAUUGGACAAUGGACCGAGAGUCUGAUCCAGCAAUUCUGUGUGCACGAUGAAGUUUUUCGGAAUGUAAAGUGCUUUCAGUUGGGAAGAAAUAAAUGACGGUACCAACAGAAGAAGUGACGGCUAAAUACGUGCCAGCAGCCGCGGUAAUACGUAUGUCACGAGCGUUAUCCGGAUUUAUUGGGCGUAAAGCGCGUCUAGGUGGUUAUGUAAGUCUGAUGUGAAAAUGCAGGGCUCAACUCUGUAUUGCGUUGGAAACUGUAUAACUAGAGUACUGGAGAGGUAAGCGGAACUACAAGUGUAGAGGUGAAAUUCGUAGAUAUUUGUAGGAAUGCCGAUGGGGAAGCCAGCUUACUGGACAGAUACUGACGCUAAAGCGCGAAAGCGUGGGUAGCAAACAGGAUUAGAUACCCUGGUAGUCCACGCUGUAAACGAUGAUUA